rnacentral:rRNA from 1 species
AUUGAACGCUGGCGGCAGGCCUAACACAUGCAAGUCGAACGGUAACAGGAAACAGCUUGCUGUUUCGCUGACGAGUGGCGGGCGGGUGAGCAAUGUCUGGGAAACGGCCUGAGGGAGGGGGAUAACUACUGGAAACGGUAGCUAAAACCGCAUAACGUCGCAAGACCAAGGAGGGGGACCUCCGGGGCUCUUGGCAUAGGAUGGGCCCAGGUGGGAUUAGCUAGUUGGUGGGGUAACGGCUCACCAAGGCGACGAUCCCUAGCUGGUCUGAGAGGAUGACCAGCCACACUGGAACUGAGACACGGUCCAGACUCCUACGGGAGGCAGCAGUGGGGAAUAUUGCACAAUGGGCGCAAGCCUGAUGCAGCCAUGCCGCGUGUGUGAAGAAGGUCUUCGGAUUGUAAAGCACUUUCAGCGGGGAGGAAGGGAGUUAAGUUAAUACCUUUGCUUAUUGACGUUACCCACAGAAGAAGCACCGGCUAACUCCGUG